UUUUCCAUGGAAGUAGAACACAAUACCAUCAGCUCCAAUGAACCUGGGGUCCAAGCAUGCUGAGCCGGGACCGUUACAGUUUGGUUUUGAACCUGUCAUUGUGGAACAAAAAACAAAUAAGCGAUUCGCAGUUGACGUAACAAACUUUGUCGGUAUGGUUUGAUGGUGAUUUUGAUGGGCAUUCUGCUGGGCAACGCAUCUGCUUGAAACGACACGGGCUGUUGCUCCUGUAACAAGUUAAUGUAUCAGCACCAUGGAUCUGCAACAAACCAGACAUGAACACCAGAAGAAUGAUAGAGAUUUCAUUUCUGCUAAAUCUCCCCAUGAUCAUCUGAGCUUCUUCAAUGGCAGCCAAUGACUUGAGAUGGUCAAGCACAGGUUUUCCUUGUAUCUUUUAUAAAAGCCAUUGAGUGCGAAAGUGGGCAUUUUCCCAGACUAUUAAGCACUAUUGAAGCAAAUGCAUUGUUCCAUUUUU